CCUACGGGACGCAGCAGUGGGGGAUAUUGCACAAUGGGGGCAACCCCGAUGCAGCGACGCCGCGUGAGCGAUGGAGUACUUCGGUAUGUAAAGCUCUGUCAGCAGGGAAGAGAAUGACGGUACCUGACCAAGAAGCCCCGGCUAAAUACGUGCCAGCAGCCGCGGUAAUACGUAUGGGGCAAGCGUUAUCCGGAUUUACUGGGUGUAAAGGGGGCGCAGACGGCGAUGCAAGCCAGGAGUGAAAGCCCGGGGCCCAACCCCGGGACUGCUCUUGGCACUGCGUGGCUGGAGUGC
rnacentral:rRNA from 1 species